rnacentral:misc_RNA from 1 species
GUAGGUGAACCUGCGGAAGGAUCAUUAAUUUCGGUGGUUUUCCACUGUUAUGAGGGGGAUUUCGGUCCCUUCUCUCCUUCCUUGUCUUUUGAGUACCCUAGUUUCUUUGGUAGGCUUGCCUGCCAUUGACAACCUAUAACCUUUUUAAUUUUAAAUCAGCGUCUGAAAUUUUUAAUAAUUACAACUUUCAACAACGGAUCUCUUGGUUCUG